rnacentral:rRNA from 1 species
GAUGAACGCUGGCGGCGUGCUUAACACAUGCAAGUCGAACGAAGCACUUUAUUUGAUUUCCUUCGGGACUGAUUAUUUUGUGACUGAGUGGCGGACGGGUGAGUAACGCGUGGGUAACCUGCCUUGUACAGGGGGAUAACAGUUGGAAACGGCUGCUAAUACCGCAUAAGCGCACAGCUUCGCAUGAUGCAUUGUGAAAAACUCCGGUGGUAUAAGAUGGACCCGCGUUGGAUUAGCUAGUUGGUGAGGUAACGGCCCACCAAGGCGACGAUCCAUAGCCGACCUGAGAGGGUGACCGGCCACAUUGGGACUGAGACACGGCCCAGACUCCUACGGGAGGGAGCAGUGGGGAAUAUUGCAAAAUGGGCGAAAGCAUGAUGCAGCGACGCCGCGUGAGCGAAGAAGUAUUUCGGUAUGUAAAGCUCUAUCAGCAGGGAAGAUAAUGACGGUACCUGAAUAAGAAGCACCGGCUAAAUACGUG